rnacentral:rRNA from 1 species
AUUGAACGCUGGCGGCAUGCUUUACACAUGCAAGUCGAACGGUAACGCGGGGCAACCUGGCGACGAGUGGCGAACGGGAGAGUAAUGCAUCGGAACGUGCCGGGUAGUGGGGGAUAACUGCUCGAAAGAGCAGCUAAUACCGCAUACGACCUGAGGGUGAAAGGGGGGGAUCGCAAGACCUCUCGCUUUUGGAGCGGCCGAGGUCGGAUUAGCUAGUUGGGGGGGUAAGGGCCCACCAAGGCGACGAUCCGUAGCUGGUCUGAGAGGACGACCAGCCACACUGGGACUGGGACACAGCCCAGACUCCUACGGGAGGCAGCAGUGGGGAAUUUGGGACAAUGGACGCAAGUCUGAUCCAGCCAUGCCGCGUGCGGGAAGAAGGCCUUCGGGUUGUAAACCGCUUUUGUCAGAGAAGAAAUCUUCUGGGUUAAUACCUCGGGAGGAUGACGGUAUCUGAAGAAUAAGCACCGGCUAACUACGUGCCAGCCGCCGCGGUAA